GGAAGAGGAUCUUGGUGUCUAGAGGCAAGUUUCACCAGAUGAUAUCAGAGAGGGGUCAUGACCGGAUCCGGGAAGGCCUCUUAGGCCAUGAGAAGAAGUCCACAAAGAAUUCCAGUCAGCUGUCGCAUGCUUAGAGAAGAGAUCUUGUCUCUUUAAAAUAUUGCCAAAUGAAGCUAGCUGCCGGACCAGGGGCUUCUGUGAAGACACGUCCACUGUUCCCCUUCAGCUCCCUCUUUCACCGCCAACCCACUGCCAUCAAACUCUCCCCUUUCUCCACCAUCAGCACUUGCUUUUACAAAAUUAUCAUUACAAUAACAAGAGGACCUUUCAUUUUAAUAAAAGAUCUGGAAGGAUCUACACUAAAGUGUUAGCUGCUAUUUCUGCGUGAAGAGAUUAUGGAAUUUUUUUCUUAUUAUCAUGUAUGUGAAUAAUUAAUUAUGCAAACUAGUAUUGAUUUGGUGAUAAGAAAAUAAAAGUAAAAGUUUUUUCCCCUCCAAGAAAAAGAAUGCUUCAUCUUUUUAUGAGAAUUUACUCUCUAUAAAGGACUUUUAGUUCCAUUGCAUCAAUGGCACUUCCUAACCACCCUCUGAAUAAAUCAUUUAUUCCCACUUACAGAUGAGACCACCAAGAGGGAGAGAAGGGAAUUGUUUGGCUGCGGGUGACAAAGCUAGUAA
rnacentral:lncRNA from 1 species